UGGGGAAUAUUGCACAAUGGGCGAAAGCCUGAUGCAGCGACGCCGCGUGCGGGAUGAAGGCCUUCGGGUUGUAAACCGCUUUUGAUUGGGAGCAAGCGAGAGUGAGUGUACCUUUCGAAUAAGCACCGGCUAACUACGUGCCAGCAGCCGCGGUAAUACGUAGGGUGCAAGCGUUAUCCGGAAUUAUUGGGCGUAAAGAGCUCGUAGGCGGUUUGUCGCGUCUGGUGUGAAAGUCCAUCGCUUAACGGUGGAUCUGCGCCGGGUACGGGCAGGCUAGAGUGCGACAGGGGAGACUGGAAUUCCCGGUGUAACGGUGGAAUGUGUAGAUAUCGGGAAGAACACCAAUGGCGAAGGCAGGUCUCUGGGUCGUCACUGACGCUGAGGAGCGAAAGCGUGGGGAGCGAACAGGAUUAGAUACCC
rnacentral:rRNA from 1 species